rnacentral:lncRNA from 1 species
GGAUAAGCAUCUUUAACUGGUAAUGUAACAGUGCUGUAUCGAAACAGCGAAUUCUUGACUGCGAUGAAUCCGAUGCAGCGGUUAAGAGGCGAGGCGCUCUGGGGAAUGUGCGCCGCUGAUGCCAUGUCCAUGCCGGUCCAUUGGUACUACAGUGUGCGAGACAUCAAGAAAGAUUUCGACGGCUGGAUAACUUGUUUCAACCAGCCCAAAGAUAAACACCCUACGAGCAUCCUCACUCUCUCCAACGCAGCUGGAAGUGGGCGCAAUGGCUGGUCAAAAGGCAGCAAACCUCCAGUGGUUGGUAACAUCAUCCUCCAUGACAAGAUGAAAUACUGGACGACACCUGGAGGCAAUGUCCACUAUCAUCAAGGUCUGAAGGCAGGACAGAACACUCUGAAUACUCUGUGUGCCCUUGGUGUGGGGAGGAGUCUCACCUCGGGGAGAUUUAGCAGCAUGACCGAACCGCUAGCACAAGCUGCGGUCCUCGCUGACUAUGUGAAGUUUAUGACUACACCUGGUAGCCAUGACGACACCUAUGCAGAGUCAUUCCACAGGUCUUUCUUCUCUGAUUGGCAGGAGUCACGACCAACUUCACCAAGCAAGGUCCUUGAGUUUGCAGAAAAGCGAUAUAAGCAGAAGAUGAAUGCACAUCCCCCUGAUAGCCAGUUGGAUUCUAUCGGGUGCCUUCCAAUGACCAUCCCUUUCAUCCUGUUAUCAGCUUCAGACGAUGAAGAGAAAGCUGUGACUGCAUCACUUCAGUUCGUGCGGCUCACUCACCCACACCCAAGACUGGAGACAUUUGUGGCACUUUAUGCACGAGCACUGCAUGCUACACUGAACGGAGCAUGUCUGAAGCAGCAGGCCGAGGCGGCACUGAAAUCUCCCAUACUGGAUGUCUGGGAUGUCUGCCAGAGCUUCAUGCGCAGGGCAGCCAGGUUCCCUGUGGGUUCCGAGGAGAGAUUGAAGGUACAUCAGAGUGCUAUAGAGAUGCUUGGCCUUGCCUGCUACACUAAAGGUGCCCUGUGCAGUUUGUUUUACCUGGCCCAUGAGUUUCAUAGUGAUCUCCAUGGAGGGAUCUUGGCAAACACUAACUGUGGAGGAGAGAACUGUAACAGGGGGGCAGCGCUCGGUGCUCUGCUGGGCUCUCAGGCAGGCCACUUGGGGAAAUGUGUCCGUCAGGAGUGGAAAGAUGGCCUUCAAAAUGCUAAAGAACACAUUCCAGACAUACUUCAGAACCUAUUGUAA